rnacentral:tRNA from 1 species
GCGCGGUUAGCUCAGCGGUAGAGCAUCGCCUUCACACGGCGGGGGUCACUGGUUCGAACCCAGUAUCGCGCACCA